rnacentral:sRNA from 1 species
CCAACAGCAACCUCAGUACGUGAACUCUGUUAUCCAGAAGGCCUCGCCCUGCCGCCGCCGAAGCUGGAAUUCGUCGGCUAGUAGUUCUCGCCGGCAACUAGAGGAACCUGUUGGCGUGGCCCAGAAGGCUUAGCGGGAUUGCACGAGCCCUCAGAUUCAUCGCUACCCCGAGGCUAAGCGCCAUGCCUCAUAUUGACAACGAUGUGAAACUGGACUUCAAGGAUGUCCUUUUGAGGCCCAAACGCAGUACCCUUAAGUCUCGAAGUGAGGUGGAUCUCACAAGAUCCUUUUCAUUUCGGAACUCAAAGCAGACAUACUCUGGGGUUCCCAUCAUUGCUGCCAAUAUGGAUACUGUGGGCACCUUUGAGAUGGCCAAGGUUCUCUGUAAGGUAGGGCUUUCCUCAUGCCCCAUCCCUAUUGGUGUCCAGUUAGCCCAGCUGACUGCAGAGGUGUUUGCAUCCCCACC